rnacentral:rRNA from 1 species
UNCUACGGCCAUACCACCCUGAACGCGCCCGAUCUCGUCUGAUCUCGGAAGCUAAGCAGGGUCGGGCCUGGUUAGUACUUGGAUGGGAGAAAUUCUUAACUGAGUCGGUGGAUCCAGUUGGUU